rnacentral:rRNA from 1 species
UACGAGGGGUGCAAGCGUUGCUCGGAAUUAUUGGGCGUAAAGGGUAGGUAGGUGGUCUCAUUUGUCUGGGGUGAAAGCCUUGAGCUUAACUCAAGAAGUGCCCUAGAAACGGUGAGACUGGAGUACUGGAGAGGGUCGUGGAAUUCCCGGUGUAGCGGUGAAAUGCGUAGAGAUCGGGAGGAACACCAGAGGCGAAGGCGGCGACCUGGACAGUUACUGACACUCAACUACGAAAGCGUGGGGAGCAAACAGG